UGGGCGGCCGUGCCCGUGUGAAGCUCCUUCSACGAGUCGAGUUGUUUGGGAAUGCAGCUCUAAKCGGGUGGUAAAUUUCAUCUAAAGCUAAAUACUGGCCGGAGACCGAUAGCGCACAAGUAGAGUGAUCGAAAGAUGAAAAGCACUUUGAAAAGAGAGUUAAACAGCACGUGAAAUUGUUGAAAGGGAAGCGUUGUGCACCAGACUCGCCCGGGGGGGUUCAGCCGGCACUCGUGCCGGUGUACUCCUCCCCGGGCGGGCCAGCAUCGGUUUGGGCGGCUGGUGAAAGGCCCCGGGAAUGUAACACCCUCCGGGGUGCCUUAUAGCCCGGGGUGCCAUGCAGCCAGCCUGGACCGAGGCCCGCGCUUCGGCGAGGAUGCUGGCGUAAUGGUGGUCAACGGCCCGUCUUGAAACACGGACCAAGGAGUCUAACAUCUAUGCGAGUGUUCGGGUGUCAAACCCGUCCGCGCAGUGAAAGCGAACGGAGGUGGGAGCCCCCCGGGGUGCACCAUCGACCGAUCCUG
rnacentral:rRNA from 1 species